GACAGAGGAUGCAAGCGUUGUCCGGAAUCAUUGGGCGUAAAGCGCGUGUAGGCGGCCCGAUAAGUCCGCUGUGAAAGUCCAGGGCUCAACCCUGGAAUGCCGGUGGAUACUGUCGGGCUCGAGUCCGGAAGAGGCGAGUGGAAUUCCUGGUGUAGCGGUGAAAUGCGCAGAUAUCAGGAGGAACACCGAUGGCGAAGGCAGCUCGCUGGGACGGUACUGACGCUGAGACGCGAAAGCGUGGGGAGCAAACAGG
rnacentral:rRNA from 1 species